UACCAGCACCCCGAGUGGUCGGGACGUUUAUUGGGCCUAAAGCAUCCGUAGCCGGUUCUACAAGUCUUCCGUUAAAUCCAACUGCUUAACAGGUGGGCUGCGGAAGAUACUAUAGAGCUAGGAGGCGGGAGAGGCAAGCGGUACUCGAUGGGUAGGGGUAAAAUCCGUUGAUCCAUUGAAGACCACCAGUGGCGAAGGCGGCUUGCCAGAACGCGCUCGACGGCGAGGGAUGAAAGCUGGGGGAGCAA
rnacentral:rRNA from 1 species